GAUGAACGCUGGCGGCGUGCCUAAUACAUGCAAGUCGAGCGAACAGAUGAGGAGCUUGCUCCUCUGACGUUAGCGGCGGACGGGCGAGUAACACGUGGAUAACCUACCUAUAAGACUGGGAUAACUUCGGGAAACCGGAGCUAAUACCGGAUAAUAUAUUGAACCGCAUGGUUCAAUAGUGAAAGACGGUUUUGCUGUCACUUAUAGAUGGAUCCGCGCCGCAUUAGCUAGUUGGUAAGGUAACGGCUUACCAAGGCAACGAUGCGUAGCCGACCUGAGAGGAUGAUCGGCCAAACUGGAACUGAGACACGGUCCAGACUCCUACGGGAGGCAGCAGUAGGGAAUAUUCCGCAAUGGGCGAAAGCCUGAAGGAGCAACGCCGCGUGAGUGAUGAAGGUCUUCGGAUCGUAAAACUCUGUUAUUAGGGAAGAACAAAUGUGUAAGUAACUAUGCACGUCUUGACGGUACCUAAUCAGAAAGCCACGGCUAACUACGUG
rnacentral:rRNA from 1 species